UCGAUCCACGCGUCUGUCAUCCUUGAUAUGUCCCCUUCAAUCGCGAGUUUUCCUUUCGGUUUAACCCUGUGCUUCUUGCUCUCAUCUCUGCCUUAUUCUCGCUGCUUCUCUCCGAUUGUUUGUUGUUCUUAAAUAUUGUGUUCUUUGCCUCGGAAAAUAUUGGGGGAAAGGUCCUGAUUUUCGUCUUUUAAGCGAUCUUAUUUAUGCUAUCUGAUUUGAGGAGGUUUCCGUAUUUUUGGACCUAGGGUUGUGGGUGUUUUCUCCGAUACCAUAAAAUUGGUUUCUGAGAUUUGUAGACUUGCGAUCGGGGGUCGAACAUUUCGGGAUUCUUGCGAUUGUUUCCGUUUGGGAUUGACGAAUUUUGGCCGGAUCUGUUUCCUGUUUUCUUCUUUGCUUGAGCGGCGACUGCCUUUCGGUCGUUGAGCGUCGGCUGUCUUUAGAUUGUUGGGAAAUAAAUUUAAUACAACUGAGGAAGUGCUGAUAUGCUGAUUUUAUGGGAUUUUUUUUUCUUUGUAGGAUUUUUGGUCUUUGAAAUGGAGCAAGUGGAGAUGGAUGUUUGAAUAAAAAGAAAGUUUGGCCAGUAUGCUGCCAAUUUGAACCUUUUCAGGGCGUUCGCCACCGAAGGUUACUCAGCUGUGCAGACGGUCACACAGUGGAACUUAGAUUACACAAAGCACAGCGAGCAUGGUGAUAGAAAUCAAUUGAGACGAACUUCAAUUUGAUGAUGGAAUGUAGGCAAUUGCAGUAGAGAGCUUUUACUAAAGAUUGAUGCACCGUGGACCUGAUUGGAGUGGCAUGUACCAGCAUGGAGAUUCUUUCUUUGCUCAUCAGAGGCUAGCCAUUAUUGACCCUAUUUCUGGUGACCAACCUCUCUACAGUGAAGGCAAAUCAAUUGUUGUCAUGGUGAAUGGAGAUAUUUACAACCAUAAAGAGCUGAGGAGCUGUCUGCCAAAUCAGAUUUAUAAGGUUGAACCAAAAACUCUCCAAGAUGCUAGUUCUCUAAAAGACAGUGUUGAGUUCUUUAUCAUAGCAAUAUGGAUUUGAAUUGGAUUGGUGCUAUUGCUGGUGCUGUACUCUCAGUGGAUAUUUUGGAGGAGUCGAGUGAUUUACUGCGUCUAGGCAGGCCGUGCUUAUGGAGAUCUUCAUUGAUGAACCUCAGCCUCUGCCCUAUGCUUACAAGAAGAAGGGGAUUGACAUGAAACACCAAGAUCAUAGCCAAAGAGAGCCUCCUAGAGCUGUAACAAUGCAAGCAAAGACAAAAUACCCAACUCUCUCCCCAGUAUGUCAGUUAGGCAGUAGAACUAAUGACUAGCUGAAGAAAAUGAUGGGCUACAAUAUAUAGAGAGAGAAGAGGACAGUUCUCUGUCGAAUUAACAUGAUCAGAGCAUAAUCAAGAUAUCUUCCUCUCACCACUUACAUGUACUUCGCCAUUGAUAUAUUUUUUGCAUCCAAUUUUCCUUUCUUCUCUGUAAAAUGCUCAAAUUUGCAUCCAAUGUUGUAUCAUUCAUUAUAUAGUUUCACAAAGAUCAUGCAUAAUUCUUGCUGAA